rnacentral:rRNA from 1 species
GUCGAACGCUGGCGGCGUGCCUAAUACAUGCAAGUAGGACGCAGUUGCGAACGGGUGAGUAACGCGUAGGUAACUACCUAUUAGAGGGGGAUAACUAUUGGAAACGAUAGCUCAUACCGCAUACUAGUCGAUGGACCUGCGUUGUAUUAGCUAGUAGGUAGGGUAAUGGCCUACCUAGGCAACGAUACAUAGCCGGCUGUGACGGGGGGACGGCCAAACAGGGAACGUGGCACGGCCCAGACACCUUAGGGAGGCAGCAGUAGGGGAACUUCGGCAAAUGGGGGAAACCGUGCCGAGCAACGCCGCGUGGGAGAAGAAGGGUUUCGGGUCGUAAAGGUCUGUUGGUAAGGAAGCGGUACUUGACGAGAAAGGGACGGCUAACUACGUGCCAGCAGCCGCGGUAAUAC